UGAACGACUCUCGGCAACGGAUAUCUCGGCUCUUGAUCGAUGAAGAACGUAGCGAAAUGCGAUACUUGGUGUGAAUUGCAGAAUCCCGUGAACCAUCGAGUCUUUGAACGCAAGUUGCGCCCGAGGCCUUCUGGUCGAGGGCACGUCUGCCUGGGCGUCACGC
rnacentral:rRNA from 1 species